GGCGACCUCUGGUAAACUGAAAGUCACGUUGUUAUGUUUGCAGCUAUAGAAGACCAGCCACAUAUUUACAGUCAGUUACAACAGGAGGUUUCUGAAUGGUGGAAUCAGUUGAUCUAGGGGCAGUGCAGUUUGGUUCCUGGGCCUAAAUUCCUGCAGUUCCAAAGCAGCAGAAGCAUGGGUGUAUUAAAAGGACUGGACUAGUGUGAUUUUCUAAAAGUGGACUGCAGUAGUGCAUGAGGUUUAGAGCCUUCAGCCCUUCUUCAGCUCCUGGAUCCGCUUGGACAGUACUGGUACACACAUCACAGUGCAGCCCCAUACCAGUCCAUUAUGUAUCUCAAACCUCCACAUCCCGCAAACCUGAGCUGAAAUCACUAUACUAUCAGAGCACAAAGUCUCAGUCACAGCAGAGCAAUAUUCCUGUGGCAGUAUAGGCCAUUCUAGGCAGCGUGUAUCUGUUGCUAUGGGGAACAACAUCCUCAAUCAGAGAAACGGGGACAGAAUCCACAAUGUUUUUCUCCACACUGAGUUUCUACUGCCUCAAGCUAAAGCUUUUCAUUUUUUUCGUUUUUAUUUUUCGAAGCAGUAAAUAAGACUUGUUCUCCGUCUGUAACUUGUAAAUUAAGAAAAGAGUAACUGUUUGCAUUUCCUCAGAUACAUAUUUAAUAUGCUGAUGUCACAGUAGCUUGGCCCAGACAGAAAGAUUCAUACGUCAUUGCUGCGGUCAGGAGGGAUCAGAAUCCCAGCAGACAGGUGGGGAUGGUGGAAAACCUUACUGAUGAAAAGGACAAGAGCCUAAAGUACAGAGCAUUAAUACAGCCCAAGCAAACAAUCUUGCGUUGGUAGGAUUAUUGAAACUGUCACCACACCAGUGAUUCUUGAAGAGCUUUCUACAAGCUAACAAUACUAUUUGAAUCUUCGCACAGGCCGCCUUAGCCAGGUGGAAAACCAUAAAAAAAACAAAACACAUAUAGUACCCUUGGAAUUGCUGCACAGAGACAUAACUCACUAGCAAUUCCCUCCUCGCAGCUAAUAUUUAGAGUAACUGCGAUGUGAGACCUACAUAGCAAAAGCCAUCUAAGGUUGCAAACAUCUGAGACGCAGCUUCCCUCUCUCCCACACACACACAUACCCUUACGCCAGGUAGACAAAUACAAGCGUGGCAUGUGUACAUGUCUGUUUGAAAGGAAGGCAUUUAAGGUGAGCUGUUGUGCAAGAACCUGAGCAUCGAUCCACUUUAAAAGCAGGCCCAAAGCAACUGCUGUCUCUCCUGCUGACCUACUUCAACUAUCAUCCAAAACAAAAGGCUGACAAAAAGAGGAGAGAGAGAAAUCAAACACAGAGAGGCAGAAAUAGACAAUAACUACAGUCACCAUCAGUGUUAAUUAUCCUUCCAACCUCUGCCUUGUAUCUUUCUCAGGAGAGCUGGAUAGCUAAAAAAGAAGGGGAGAAAACAAAGGACUUCAAUAGAGGCUGUUGUUUAGACGGAUUGACAAAUGGUCCGAAAUCAGCAGCCAAAGAACAGGAAGGAUGAGUGAUGUCACUGUCACUGGCUUUUUUGAUGACACUUAUUUGAUUAAUUUUCCCAUUUUAAUAUUCUGUUGUUUUUUUUGCAUAACUUCUAUUUACUGACUUUGAAGUAUUGCUUUUUGUAUACUUUGCCUUUAACACAUGCGACGCACUGCUGUUGAAAUUAGGUUAAAACUAUAUUAUAGGUUUUAAUGGUAGAGUUGGAAUGACAUCUAAGUAUUUAUCAUGGCAGAGCUUUUAUGGUAAAAUAUAUAGCUUCCAGUGUAUCUGUGGAGUUAACUGGGUUUUUGGGCAGCUGUGACUGAGGGUUCGUCCUUUAACCAAUGUAACCAAUGGUUCGAUCCCAGUCUUUAUCAACUCCUUGGGCAAGAUGUUGAACCCCAAAUUGCGCCUGGUGAAAAAUUAAAUUGCUGCCCAUAAAUACACUGUAUUAAUGUGUGUGAUUGGGUAACUGACAAAAACACUGUAGGGGAGAGCGGGGUAAUGUGAGACAUUGGGUUAUGUGAGAGACCCCUUGUAUCUAGGCAACGGUACACAAUAACAUUUGUGGUCAUAAGACCAUUAUGUCUUCAAGCCCCUCCCAUUCCCCCUUGCCAUGAAGGCGAAUUUGUUGCUGGUGCUGUGGUAAGUAUGUUUUUUCACAAACAUUUAUUUUGCAUAUAAAAGUAAAUUUUCUUGCUUUGAACUUAAUCAACUGUUGUGUCAUAACAAAUUGAUUCAGGUAGAAAAACUUAUAUCAUACAUGUUGAUGAAUUCCAACAUAUAAAACCAUGUGAUUGAUGCUAGCUGAAGAUUAGCCUGAAUUGCUAAGAGAUGUUGUUUUUUCUAAAAUGGUGGUUGUGGGGUAAAGUGAGACACUGUCUCACUUUACCCCACCAUGAAGCACAAGUUAGUUUAGUCUUAAACAUAUUUUAGUGUAAUAUUACAUAACAUAUGUUUUAUUUUUAAUGUCAUAAACAUUGUAGAAAAGCCAUCAUGCUAAGAAACUACACCAGGAAGACAACCUGGGGCCAAACUCCCCUCGCAGAGAUGGAGAGUGCAGCCGCUUAGGUCAUGCAAGGAAAGAAGUCCUUAAGAAAAGCUGGAAGGGAUAGAAAUAUUGAUAAGACAACCCUCAAAAGAUUCAUAAAGAAAAAAGAGAAAGGGGAAGUAAAAUCAGUAGCCUGGGGUGCAGUAGCUGAGGCAAAGAGAAUAUUCACAGAUGAGAUGGAGGAGGAGCUUGCCAAACACUUGAAUCAACUAGCUGACCAGUUCCAUGGCCUUUCUCCAGUUAAGUGCUGUGAACUGGCAUUUGAAUACGCAGAGAAAAACAAUAUCCCUGUCCCUGCCAAUUGGACAGAGAAACAAUGUGCAGGUAAGCUAGGGUGUGCAAAAGAUCACAUGAAUCAUAAUAAUCAUAAAUGUGCUCAAUUGACCAAUCCCCAUGAUUCUGUUAGUAGUCCGAUAUUAGUUUUGGAAUGUGUGGUUGUCAAUCUAGCUGUCAGGAUUUUAACUAUUACAACAUGUGAUGUUAUGGUAGUUUUAAAGUGGAAAAUGUAAGUGGAUCCCUUUACCCCCUUGAUUUCUCUGGUCUGUCUCACUUUACCCCUUAGCUGGGGUAAAGUGAGACACAAGACACCUUUAAAAAAAAAUUAUCAUAUUUUCACUGCCCUUUGUCCUGAAGACAUUCUAAUCAUUUCCAUUGCUAGGAAGCAUCCUGAAUUAAUGGGAAAUGGGUAAAUUUUACUGAUAUAUCAUUUUAGCUCACCUAGAGGGGAGCAAAUGUAAAAAAUGUCUCACAUUACCCCGCUAUCCCCUACUUUCAAGCGCCUUGAGUGGUCAUCAAGACUUAUAGCAAUUUAUGUAAACAGAAUCUGAAAUAUUGGUUAUAGCCGCUUCAGGUCCUGAAGUUAGGAUAUAGUUCAGAGGACAGGAUAUGCUCCCCCCUUUUUUUAACUUUUGGCUAACCCAGAAUUCCCGACCUUUACACCUGUGGUCAUGUGAUGAGUAAUGACAAAGCCAAACACCACAAUUCUUGUGCCAAUUCAGGGGCAGGAACUGACACACUCAUUGUUGAUCGUGUCAGCCCGAGCUCAAGCAUGUGAGCUGGGAGUAGACUUAAAGGUUAUUCAAAAGAACAAAACAAAUUGCAGACACUAAACAGAGACACUGCUUACAUGGAUAGAUGUAUUAUUCUCAGCAGCCAGAAAGUAGCACAUACAAAAAUGUAUUUCCUCUGCUGUUAAGCCGGAGGAGGGGAAGCAGUUGAGGAGGUGUAGGUUUAGACUGUGCUGAGCGGAACUCUGAAUUACAGCCUACAUCUUUUAAAUUCUUCACUGAUUCAAACUGGUUUGAUGCUCUCCUCGCUUUUUCACCUGGGUUAAGAAUCAAUCUCUCCAAUGUUAUUAUAGAAACAUUUUGAUUUGGAUUAAGAUUGAUGAUAUCUACCAACGACAUUUUGUUAGCAACCUGGCUGCAGUGCAUCCAUAAAAGAUACAAGUAUGGAUGAGAUCCAACUCAUCGAUUCACAUUUCUUUAAUACACGAGUAAAAAAACUGCUCUUAGCAGCCAACCAAUACUGCAGCUUCUGUACAGAUUGAAACCAAAUAGCUUCAGUCCAAUUUGAUCAUAUUUUUUGUGACACUAAAAUCAUGACAGAAGAUGAAUGAACUUGGUGGUAUCUUCUCUGAUGUGAAGAUAUGCACCUUCUCUUUUUCACAUCAAAUUGAUAAUCAUCGGGUUUUCAAUUGUGUUCGACCAAAUAUGUUAUUUCAGGAUGCCAGGAUGUUGGUAUUUGUAUUAUUUGCCAGUUAAAGAAGUUUGGCUAAAGAGCAUCACCAUUUCUUUGGAUUCCUGCCACUACCUCCCUCCGUAUCAAUCUUCCUCAUCGCCUCCGUCUUUGUAAUGUCCCCCCACUGCUGGCUAUACACUGACCUGUUCUCCUCACUUCAAGGCAGAGAAGCCAAUAUUUCAUCCACAUUUAGUUUGCUCCACUGCUGCUGCUUGAGCAGCAGUGGAGCUCGUGUGGAGCUCUUUUGGAGCUCGUUUGGUCUCAUUAGGGGACGAGUCUGCCAAAUGUUCUCUGAACUUGGGAAGAAAGAUGGGGGGAAAAAAAUAUUUCCCCACAGACCCUUAUUAACAACUACUGAACACACUGGAGCUGCUUUCCUAGUAAUGACGACUCUUAUCCCUGUUUUUCACUAUUUAACAGGAAAUAUGCAUACAUUUUGACAAAGUCUCAAUAGAUUGAACAAUAACUAUAUAAUUAGACCAAAGUUGUUAUUUUAUCAUUAGAAAAUACCAGAGAAUAGUCAAUAGACCUUCUGCUGCUGCUACAUCCUGAAAAAAAACUGCAAUAGCUGUAUGGAUGUGUACACAGUAGAAGUUAAACACAACAUUGAGGUGCAGUGAUGGACAGGAGAGGACAGCAGCCUGAUGUCAGCUGGCAGAAUGUGCACACAGCCCUGUCAUCCUGCCAGUGACUCUGGGUCAUCACAUGAAAAGUAAACAGGGGCAACUGUCAGAUCUGUUUAGACUCUCAAUAAACUGAAAGACCGAAACAAACACUGCCGAGUUUUGCACUUGUCCAACGUUAUAUGAAUUAUAUAAUAUAUAUGGAUAUUCGUACAUCUUAAUAGAAAAAAAAUCAAGUUGGUUUUGUUGCUGCAAUGCUUUAUACAAAGGAUUAUAGAGCUUUUAUUUAGAAAAAUUGUGAACUUUGGUCUGAGUUGGUUUUGUUGCUGCAAUGCUUUAUACAAAGGAUUAUAGAGCUUUUAUUUAGAAAAGUUGUGAACUUUGGUCUGAGUGUCGAUUGCUUAACAGACCUUUGAAAUAGCCGACAUGAAAUGUAUAAGAAAAUAUCAUCAAGUAAAUCUAAUAAAUGAGUAUAUAUGAGAUGUGAAAGAAAAACACAUUCUAUAAAGUUGGUGUAAAAAAUAACACUGAUCAUAGCACACUUAGACAGUUUCAGAAAGUAAGCUGCAAUCAACAUCUCCAGUCACAAGUCAAGCAAAGAGCCCAGUAAGGUUGAGAAAACACACUCCACUAGUACAGUAUUUCCACAAGUCCAGGUUGUGGUAAGGACCAAGAGAACAGGAUAUAAAGACAGUUGACACUUUGAGAGGUGGCUGUUUUUUUAGGGGCAUGCUAUUGCUAGAUUGACCUGACUGUAUGUACUCUCAGUUUGAUCACGCCUCAAGGCAAUUCUGAUCCAAGUACCUUGAGAUGAAGCACCACAAAAGACCGAUAUGUGCUCAUAAAACAAACAUCCUUUCAGAAACCGAUGAGUUCCAAGCUAAGUCUAUGUUUUUCUGCAGUCUGUGCAAGUAAAAGGCAUACCUGUAUAAUGAUGCCUGAAAGUAGUUGACUCCAUCCUCUUUCAAAAGAACACUCAUGCAGUACAUGGCGUGAGAACAAAGUCUGAACUCAAUGGUACACAUCCUCAAAAUACCACAGGGUUCAGGGAGAAGACAGACCUCAAGUCAUAUGGCUAAAAACGUGUGGAGGGAAAGUUCAUGGGCUGUAGUAAACACUAGAAAAGGAUAUGAACUCGAAGGCCCAUUUAUUUAGAAGACAAUUUAUCUGUUUCAUACUUAGAGCAAUUAGCUGCAGUGACUUCUCCGAGACAUUCUCAUAUUGAAGAGGCUGUUAUCCUGAAAUAAUUAUACACGUUCAAUUUCAUAUCAUAGUUUAAAUUAUUGUUAUUUCAGGAUUAUAAACUUAGAUCCCAGCAUGAUACAUUUUUUUUACUUGUGAUCUUCGGAUACUAUUCUUGACUUCCAAGCUUUUCCACCAAAACAACCCACACAUGUAAUCUCCACCUGUUUGAUGCGUUAUAUGUGUGUCUUACCUGUUUGUAUGAGACGUAGAUAGGUCUGCUGAAAAUGAUCCACUCCACCACCUUACUGCAGGGCGGAGUGGUCAACGAGCCGGUGUAGCGAUAGUAACUUCCCAGUGCGGACGGCAGCAGGUCCUUCAGCACAAACGGCUCCAGGAACGUCUCUUUCUCUGCAUGAGAGUGGACAGGACACAAUGUUCAGAUCAAUACAACAUGAUCUACACAGCACUUUGUGUUUCACUGUAAACUAUGAGUUUCUGGAGCAGACCCAAGUGCUACUGUUUCACAGACUUAAGGUUGAUGCUAGUGAUAACAUUUGCAUUGUGCCUGCCCUUUUCAAUGUCCCCCUAUUGACACACAUAAUGGCACUGGACACCUACAACAUCACAUCUCCAAGCACAAAUGUUGACACAAGGAAAUGAUUCACUAACAAUGUUUGCUCCAAACAGAAAUUACCAGUGAUUUGAAACACAGCUGAGGCUUCAAGCCAGAAACUCUGUUUACUCUUUAAAUGAUUCUUUUAGAGGGAGAACGAUGUGGAUCCAACAAAAACAGGCAUUGAUUAAAUAGUACAAAAGUUUUAUGUGUGGCUGUGUCAUUUAGUUCCCACUGACCUCAGAGGAAAUGGUCAUGUGAAUUAUUGUUGUAUUCAUGGUGGACAAAAGCAAGAUGUGGAGCAAAAUGAUGUAUUAAGCCGUUUUCAGACAUGAACUCUGGAAGUUGUCCGCAGAAUUGGGUCCAGUUUGCCUUUUACACAUGAUCAACGCAGCAGGAGAUUCUCGGCUCAGACAUGUUCACAACAACACAGAAAUCUCCAGUGUUCAGGUGAGGGGAGGCUCAGCAGGCAGAGGCAGGACAUAACACAUUAAUUUUACUCCGGACCUCACAUGGUUUUUGUUUACAGCACAACACCAGCAUUGGCUCAUAUUACCAAAAGCUCUCCUGAUGUCUUAGUCUGUGUCUGGGAUGUGUAUGGCUCCGCUUUUUCAACUUGAGAUAUUUAUAUUCCUUUUGUACAUUUCAUUUUAUCGUUUGUUGCAUGUUUGAUAUCAACAAUCCUGCGGAGGAUUUGUUUUCUCAUAUGGGCUAAUUCUGUUGAGUUUUUCCUAAAGGUCUGGCACAAAAAACUCCAGAGAGAGUCCAGAGGCUCCCACUUGGACAUCUGCAACCUCACAUACAGUACCUCCGGAGAAUAUCAGAAGAUUAUCCACAGUUCAGAGCAUGUCUGAAAGUAGCUUUAGUGUUAUGUUACAUGACCUGAGCUUUCGCAUUAUGCUACAAGUCUGGAAGUUUUCAAAUGCAGUCAGUUUCUAUGUGAAUGACAUAAUCAUCUGUUUCCAUGAGUGUCAUGUGCUACCACUAGACUCUCAAUGACCAAUGAAAAGAGGGAAACAGGCUGACUGUCGACACUGUGUUAAUGACAUAACUUGAGUCAUGUUUUUAA